ACGUGAACAUUAUCCGAUUUUCCCACAAUUGCUUCAACAAGUGGUACUCUGAGAAAUUCGUAAAGGUCAGUGGGAUAAAGAGGAAUGCGUUUCCGAGUGGCAAAAGUACAGAGAUUGUCUCUCAGAACAUCUGGAUAACAAACAUCUUAGUCAGUUCUUGGAAGCUGAAGCUGCUUUUGGUUCCAUUAUUCAAGAGAGCAGGGAAAACCCAGUUCAGAAUACUGCUAAAUAGUGUCGAAACAGGUGAAGAAGCUAAGCCGUUCCUUUUGUUUGCAUUGUUGUUAUUUGGAAUUUGAUUUUCUUAUGUUCAAGAUACAUUGGGAUUUACCUAGCUGAUACUGUAGGAGAUUGAGUCAUAUUGUUUUUUAGGGUUUUUUACCGCUAGAACAUGGAUGUAAUCUGGAUAUAAUCAUUAGAUCAACUAUUUGUAUUGUAUAUGUAAUCUGAAUAGAAAAGCAUGCAACUUGUUUUGAUCCUUACCACCUUAAACCGAUUCGUUAUUCAUGUGGGUUUAUAUCAUGGAAUGCUUUACGAAUCAUGCUAUGGUCAUUGGUACAUUUGUUCCGUGAACUGAGCAUUAUGGACUACAUUUUAGUAGCAGUCAAAUAUUGCUUCUUGUGACCUCCUGCUACACCGUGUUGUUCCGAAACUGACGGAGUUCGAUUUUACAUUUUGUGGACAAGCACUU